AGAGUUUGAUUCUGGCUCAGGACGAACGCUGGCGGCGCGCCUAACACAUGCAAGUCGAACGAGCGAGAGAGAGCUUGCUUUCUCGAGCGAGUGGCGAACGGGUGAGUAACGCGUGAGGAACCUGCCUCAAAGAGGGGGACAACAGUUGGAAACGACUGCUAAUACCGCAUAAGCCCACAGGUCGGCAUCGACCAGAGGGAAAAGGAGCAAUCCGCUUUGAGAUGGCCUCGCGUCCGAUUAGCUAGUUGGUGAGGUAACGGCCCACCAAGGCGACGAUCGGUAGCCGGACUGAGAGGUUGAACGGCCACAUUGGGACUGAGACACGGCCCAGACUCCUACGGGAGGCAGCAGUGGGGAAUAUUGCACAAUGGGGGAAACCCUGAUGCAGCGACGCCGCGUGGAGGAAGAAGGUCUUCGGAUUGUAAACUCCUGUUGUUGAGGAAGAUAAUGACGGUACUCGACAAGGAAGUGACGGCUAACUACGUGCCAGCAGCCGCGGUAAAACGUAGGUCACAAGCGUUGUCCGGAAUUACUGGGUGUAAAGGGAGCGCAGGCGGGAAGACAAGUUGGAAGUGAAAUCUAUGGGCUCAACCCAUAAACUGCUUUCAAAACUGUUUUUCUUGAGUAGUGCAGAGGUAGGCGGAAUUCCCGGUGUAGCGGUGGAAUGCGUAGAUAUCGGGAGGAACACCAGUGGCGAAGGCGGCCUACUGGGCACCAACUGACGCUGAGGCUCGAAAGUGUGGGUAGCAAACAGGAUUAGAUACCCUGGUAGUCCACACCGUAAAC
rnacentral:rRNA from 1 species